rnacentral:rRNA from 1 species
ACGCUGGCGGCGUGCCUAAUACAUGCAAGUCGAGCGAACGGACGAGAAGCUUGCUUCUCUGAUGUUAGCGGCGGACGGGUGAGUAACACGUGGAUAACCUACCUAUAAGACUGGGAUAACUUCGGGAAACCGGAGCUAAUACCGGAUAAUAUUUUGAACCGCAUGGUUCAAAAGUGAGAGGCGGUCUUGCUGUCACUUAUAGAUGGAUCCGCGCUGCAUUAGCUAGUUGGUAAGGUAACGGCUUACCAAGGCAACGAUGCAUAGCCGACCUGAGAGGGUGAUCGGCCACACUGGAACUGAGACACGGUCCAGACUCCUAUGGGAGGCAGCAGUAGGGAAUCUUCCGCAAUGGGCGAAAGCCUGACGGAGCAACGCCGCGUGAGUGAUGAAGGUCUUCGGAUCGUAAAACUCUGUUAUUAGGGAAGAACAUAUGUGUAAGUAACUGUGCACAUCUUGACGGUACCUAAUCAGAAAGCCACGGCUAACUACGUGCCAGCAGCCGCGGUAAUACGUAGGUGGCAAGCGUUAUCCGGAAUUAUUGGGCGUAAAGCGCGCGUAGGCGGUUUUUUAAGUCUGAUGUGAAAGCCCACGGCUCAACCGUGGAGGGUCAUUGGAAACUGGAAAACUUGAGUGCAGAAGAGGAAAGUGGAAUUCCAUGUGUAGCGGUGAAAUGCGCAGAGAUAUGGAGGAACACCAGUGGCGAAGGCGACUUUCUGGUCUGUAACUGACGCUGAUGUGCGAAAGCGU